CCUUGCAGGGCCUGCAAUAAAACUUUCUCUGCUCCCAACUCUGACAUUUCAGUUUGUUUGGCCUUACUCUGUGUCAGGCACAUGGACUUGCUCUGACAACUUUGGUGAAGCCAGCCUAGGUGUCUGGGCCUCUGCCAGAUUGGCCCUGGCCACAGCAACAUCUUCCUGACACCUAAGCAGCUGCCAGAGCCCACUUUGCUCUGGGGAUCUUGGACGGACUGUCCCCCCAAAACACCGGCUGCCCACAGUAUGAGGCUAUUUGGAAUGGAGGAAUGUCCAGAGCUGUGGUCCAUGCUCACUGUCAAUUGGGGUAAGUCUCUUUUGAGAGCGGGUGGGCCAGUCUGGAGGGUUCCUCAGUUUGGGAGUGAAGGUGGAAUUUUAGACCACACCUCUGAUAUUCUGUGUGUGUGACUAUAACAUUUGCUGUUUAUGUUUUGUGUGUAUGGCUUUGGGGUGAGCCACUCAUGGUCCAUUCUCUUUCUGGAGUCAGGCUGCUCUGGAGACCUCUGUCUGGGAACAGAAGUGGCAUUUCUGGGCUGCUCCUUGCCUGGUCCUUUGUUUGUUGUUUGUGUGUGUGUGUUGUAUUGUACUUGCAUUGGUCAGUUGAGAUCUCUUUGGUACCAGGGCUUGUGUGUCUGACACCAGGUAUACUUCCCUAUUGUGUUGGGCUUCUCCUAUGGUGGAGCGUUGGUUGGAAUUUUCUCUUCGCAAUGGAUGAGAAUCUCUCUUUUUUGUGCCAGGGAGCUGUGAUCCAGAGAAACCCUUGUGCAUUGCUUUUUUUUUUUUUUUGGAUAGUUGACAACACCUGCCAUGAUCAUCAGAGCUCUAUUCCAUUUGAGAGACACCCCCCACUCCAGGGUAUGUUUUGCAAAACUUGGAGAUCUUUAGUAUGCUUCUAAAAAGAGAGAGAAGAUUCUUUAACACUUGCAUGGCCACUAGAAUCCUUAGACUCUGGAGAAAAUUGGUUAAGAUGAAACUAUUGGCUGUAUAGCAGAAAUUGACAGAACAUUGUAAAUCAACUGUAAUAAAAAAUUUUUUUAAAAGAAACUCGAAAUUCCA
rnacentral:lncRNA from 1 species